GUGCUCAGUGUGGUAGCACACAUGCUAAAACUAGAAAAGUACAGAGUUGAGCAUGGCCCCUGAGAAAAAAUGACAUAAAAUUCAUGAAGUGUUUCACAUUUUA